AGACGGGACCCGCACAAGCGGUGGAUGAUGUGGAUUGAUUCGAUGCAACGCGAAAACCUUACCUACCCUUGACAUGCUAGGAACUUGCCAGAGAUGGCUUGGUGCCCGAAAGGGAACCUAGACACAGGUGCUGCAUGGCUGUCGUCAGCUCGUGUCGUGAGAUGUUGGGUUAAGUCCCGCAACGAGCGCAACCCUUGUCAUUAAUUGCCAUCAUUCAGUUGGGCACUUUAAUGAGACUGCCGGUGACAAACCGGAGGAAGGUGGGGAUGACGUCAAGUCCUCAUGGCCCUUAUGGGUAGGGCUUCACACGUAAUACAAUGGUCGGUACAGAGGGUUGCCAACCCGCGAGGGGGAGCCAAUCCCAGAAAACCGAUCGUAGUCCGGAUUGCAGUCUGCAACUCGACUGCAUGAAGUCGGAAUCGCUAGUAAUCGCGGAUCAGCAUGUCGCGGUGAAUACGUUCCCGGGCCUU
rnacentral:rRNA from 1 species